rnacentral:lncRNA from 1 species
GGCAGCGGACUGGGAGAGGCAGACCCACCCUCAAUGUGAGUGGGCACCAUCUAAUCAGCUCCAGCGCUGCUAGGAUAAAGCAGUCAGAGGAACGUGGAAGGAACGUGAGUCUUCUGGCCUCCAUCUCUCCCGUGCUGGAUGCUUCCCGCCCUCAAACAUCGGACUCCAAAUUCUUGAGCUUUUGGACUCUUGGACUUACACCAGUGGUUUGCCAGGGGCUCUCAGUCCUUCAUCCACAGACUGAAAGCUGCACUGUCGGCUACCCUGCUUUUGACGUUUUGGGAGGCAGACUGGUUUCCUUGCUCGUCAGCUUGCAAAUGGCCUAUUGUGGGACUUCCUCUUGUGAUCGUUCAAUUCACAGGACCUCCACAGUGUGCCUUUUGCUGGGUAGGAAAAUGCCAGCCAGCUUGGAAAACAAGAAGACACAUUUAUGUCUACCAUGAGCAUUGGCAUCAGCCAAUUAUCCCACACGUUUUCGGCUAGUCAGUGCUGAAGAGAGCAAGAAUUUCAACCCUUCUUGCUACAUUCAAGACAUAGAAAUCCAGCCAGAAGACAACUCGAGAUAUUUUGUGGAUCUAUGCCUUUCCUUCAGAAAAGCAAAUAUCUACCAUAAAAAAACACUGGUCCAAUAUUCACUUCUAUAAGAAAUGCAGGGGCAAAUAAAUUAUGGAUUUUAUUAUCGCUAAUAGAGUCACUUAACCAUUACUCCUUACUACAUUCUGCUUUUCUAACAAAAUUUCGACUGAAUAUUCUCCCUCAGAGCCUCCAAAAGGAACCAACUGAUGACAACUGAUUUUGGACUUCUGGCCUCCUGAACUAUAACAAAAUAAACAUCUGUUGU